AAAGUUGCUGCGGUUAAAAAGCUCGUAGUUGGAUCUCAGUUACAGGCGGGAAGUGCGUGGACACCACGUUACGGCCCGUGCUGAACAUCAUGCCUGUCGUGGCUUGGUUCCCUUCAUCAGGUGCCUUGCUUUGGCCGGCGCGUUUACUUUGAAAAAAUUAGAGUGCUCAACGCAGGCGAUUCGCCUGAAUAACUGUGCAUGGAAUAAUAGAACAAGAUCCUGUUUCUGUUCUGUUGGUUUUUGGAAUACAGGAGAAUGAUUAAGAGGGACAGACGGGGGCAUUCGUAUUGCGGCGCUAGAGGUGAAAUUCUUGGACCGUCGCAAGACGAACUACUGCGAAAGCAUUUGCCAAGAAUGUUUUCAUUGAUCAAGAACGAAAGUUAGAGGUUCGAAGGCGAUCAGAUACCGCCCUAGUUCUAACCAUAAACGAUGCCAACCAGCGAUCCGCCUGAGUUACUCAAAUGACUCGGCGGGCAGCUUCCGGGAAACCAAAGUAUUUGGGUUCCG
rnacentral:rRNA from 1 species